CAAUAGCGUAUACUAAAGUUGUUGCAGUUAAAAAGCUCGUAGUUGAAUUUCUGGUCUCGGACAGCGGUCUGCCUCAAACGAGGUACGCACCACCUGUUCAGGUCCAUCCUCGGAGAAAACAUGCCUGUGAUUCAGUUCAUGGGUAUGGGAUCUUCGUCAUUUACUGUGAGCAAAAUAGAGUGUUCAAAGCAGGCUUAUGCCGUUGAAUACAUUAGCAUGGAAUAAUAAAAUAAGACCUUGGUCUAUUUUGUUGGUUUGUACUCCAAGGUAAUGAUUAAUAGGGAUAGUUGGGGGUAUUCGUAUUCAAUUGUCAGAGGUGAAAUUCUUGGAUUUAUGGAAGACGAACUACUGCGAAAGCAUUUACCAAGGAUGUUUUCAUUAAUCAAGAACGAAAGUUAGGGGAUCGAAGACGAUCAGAUACCGU
rnacentral:rRNA from 1 species